rnacentral:lncRNA from 1 species
GCCGGUGUUUGUUGAGAUGAAGACAUAAUGUCAAGUUUCCGUCGUCACGUCAAGCUGUUAGUCUUGCACACGACGUUUCUAUAAUAGUUUUGGCAGGUAUAUUUCUCGAAUGCGACAUUCUUUACUAUGUAGUUAGUUCGUUAAUUAACAGUAUUUAAGAGUUGCUUAAAUAUUCCUUAAUCGUCCCCAUCAUCAAAACUUUGUGCAAUUCUUG